CUGCAGCUCAAGUGGUAGCCGCUAUUAUUGGGCCUAAAACGUUCGUAGCCGGUUUAGUAAAUGCUUGGGUAAAUUGUGUCGCUUAACGAUACGAAUACCGGGUAGACUGCUAAACUUGGGACCGGGAGAGGCUAGAGGUACUCCUGGGGUAGAGGUGAAAUUCUGUAAUCCUGGGGGGACCACCAGUGGCGAAGGCGUCUAGCUAGAACGGGUCUGACGGUGAGGAACGAAGCCCUGGGGCGCAAACCGGAUUAGAUACCCGAGUAGUCC
rnacentral:rRNA from 1 species